GUCCGUGUCGAACAGCAGUCAGUUCACCGGUUUCUCGAACCGGCUACGCGGGUGCAACUCCCGCCACGGAUA
rnacentral:tRNA from 1 species